rnacentral:rRNA from 1 species
CGGCCCGCCAGAGGACCCCUAAACUCUGUUUCUAUAUGUAACUUCUGAGUAAAACCAUAAAUAAAUCAAAACUUUCAACAACGGAUCUCUUGGUUCUGGCAUCGAUGAAGAACGCAGCAAAAUGCGAUAAGUAAUGUGAAUUGCAGAAUUCAGUGAAUCAUCGAAUCUUUGAACGCACAUUGCGCCCGCCAGUAUUCUGGCGGGCAUGCCUGUUCGAGCGUCAUUUCAACCCUCAAGCACAGCUUGGUGUUGGGACUCGCGUUAAUUCGCGUUCCUCAAAUUGAUUGGCGGUCACGUCGAGCUUCCAUAGCGUAGUAGUAAAACCCUCGUUACUGGUAAUCGUCGCGGCCACGCCGUUAAACCCCAACUUCUGAAUGUUGACCUCGGAUCAGGUAGGAAUACCCGCUGAACUUAAGCAUAUCAAUAAGCGGAGGAA